UUUAUUAGUUUUCUCUUUGUUUGUUAUAUCAUUUGUUUCUGUAAUCAGUGUUAAGUUGGCAUCAAUUUAAAAUAAUGGGUUAUAUUAUUUGCAAGCCUCAUGGUAACAUCAAAUAAAAAGAAACUUAC